rnacentral:rRNA from 1 species
AACCAGAAGGCGCAGUGAGAGUGAAGGCACGGCCGCCGUGCCGAGGUGAGAGCCGCCCGUGCGGCGGCGCAUCAUCGACCGAUCCCGACCGAGCCGCCCGCGGCACGGCGGGAUUCGAGUGAGAGCGCAUCUGCUGCGACCCGAAAGAUGGUGAACUAUGCCUGAAUAGGGUGAAGCCAGAGGAAACUCUGGUGGAGGCCCGCAGCGAUUCUGACGUGCAAAUCGAUCGUCAAAUUUGGGUAUAGGGGCGAAAGACUAAUCGAACCAUCUAGUAGCUGGUUCCCUCCGAAGUUUCCCUCAGGAUAGCUGUAGCCCCGGGCAGUUUUAUCAGGUAAAGCGAAUGAUUAGAGGUAUCGGGGAAGAAACUUCCUCGACCUAUUCUCAAACUUUAAAUUGGUAAGAGGUCCGACUUGCUCGAGUGAAGCCGGACGACGAAUGCUGGGUUACUAGUGGGCCAUUUUUGGUAAGCAGAACUGGCGAUGCGGGAUGAACCGAACGCCGGGUUAAGGUGCCAAAGUCGACGCUCAUCAGAUCCCACAAA